rnacentral:rRNA from 1 species
UACAGAGGUGGCAAGCGUUGUUCGGAAUUACUGGGCGUAAAGGGCGCGUAGGCGGUCUUGUAAGUCUUGUGUGAAAUCCCUCGGCUUAACUGAGGAACUGCACGGGAUACUGCGAGACUUGAGAUCGGGAGAGGGAAGCGGAAUUCCUGGUGUAGCGGUGAAAUGCGCAGAUAUCAGGAGGAACACCAAUUGCGAAGGCAGCUCGCUGGGACGUUACUGACGCUGAGACGCGAAAGCGUGGGGAGCAAACAGG